rnacentral:rRNA from 1 species
AUUACGGAGAGUUUGAUCGUGGCUCAGGAUGAACGCUGGCGGCGUGCCUAAUACAUGCAAGUCGAACGGGAACCUCUGGAUUCGUCUGGAGGGGAGAGUGGCGGACGGGUGAGUAACACGUAGGCGACCUGCCCCGAAGACGGGGAUAACCACUGGAAACGGUGGCUAAUACCCGAUGUGCUCGGCG